rnacentral:rRNA from 1 species
GGAGCGAACGCUGGCGGCAUGCUUAACACAUGCAAGUCGCACGGGCAUUUCGGUGUCAGUGGCGGACGGGUGAGUAACGCGUAGGUAUCUAUCCUUGGGUGGGGGAUAACGGUUGGAAACGACUGCUAAUACCGCAUGAUAACUGAGGUUUAAAGGCGCAAGUCGCCUGGGGAGGAGCCUGCGUACGAUUAGCUUGUUGGUGGGGUAAAGGCCUACCAAGGCGACGAUCGUUAGCUGGUCUGAGAGGAUGAUCAGCCACAUUGGGACUGAGACACGGCCCAAACUCCUACGGGAGGCAGCAGUGGGGAAUAUUGGACAAUGGGCGAAAGCCUGAUCCAGCAAUGCCGCGUGUGUGAAGAAGGUCUUCGGAUUGUAAAGCACUUUCGACAGGGACGAUGAUGACGGUACCUGUAGAAGAAGCCCCGGCUAACUCGUGCCAGCAGCCGC